GCAGACUACACAUGCAGUCGUACCAGUGAACAGCGCAGGCAGCUUGCUGCUUCGCUGACGAGUGGCGGACGGGUGAGUAAUGUCUGGGAAACUGCCUGAUGGAGGGGGAUAACUACUGGAAACGGUGGCUAAUACCGCAUAACGUCGCAAGACCAAAGAGGGGGACCUUCGGGCCUCUUGCCAUCAGAUGUGCCCAGAUGGGAUUAGCUUGUUGGUGAGGUAACGGCUCACCAAGGCGACGAUCCCUAGCUGGUCUGAGAGGAUGACCAGCCACACUGGAACUGAGACACGGUCCAGACUCCUACGGGAGGCAGCAGUGGGGAAUAUUGCACAAUGGGCGCAAGCCUGAUGCAGCCAUGCCGCGUGUAUGAAGAAGGCCUUCGGGUUGUAAAGUACUUUCAGCGGGGAGGAAGGUGUUGUGGUUAAUAACCGCAGCAAUUGACGUUACCCGCAAAAGAAGCACCGGCUAACUCCGUGCCAGCAGCCGCGGUAAUACGGAGGGUGCAAGCGUUAAUCGGAAUUACUGGGCGUAAAGCGCACGCAGGCGGUC
rnacentral:rRNA from 1 species